rnacentral:lncRNA from 1 species
GCACCUCGGCCCUCACAGGUCCUGCCACCUGGGCACCUUUCCUCCAGCCCCUUCCCUUCAUUCAGGCCUCAGCAAAUGUCAGCGCCUGCAGGAGGCCUCCCCAGAUUGCUCUCACAAAAGGAGCUGCCUCACUGGCACCCCUCACCUCAUGAAACAAUUCUAAUUUCUUCCCAGCACUGGCCAGAGGACCAGGUCUGAGCAGUCGGUUCACCAGGCACUGCCUUUCCCCUCACAUCUGCGUAUGGAGCAGGGCAUUCCCCACCAUGACUCCAGCGAUUCCUCUAAAAGGGAUAUCCCUCAGUGUCUGUCAUCUGUCUGCCACUGCCAAGUUCCGGAAGGAAGGCGCACACAGGCGGGGCAUGUGCCACAGGGUUGGGGCAGAGGCUUGGCCACUGUCUGUCCUGAGAAGCCUGUGAGACUCCUAUCAUUCUACCUAGAGCAACGGCCAGAGAGGAUGCUGAGCACGGUGGACAAGUGGCAGGGAAGGGAGGACUCAAGUACAGUCACAGAGGCGCCCAACUGCACGACGGAGCAGGCCUGGCCUUCCCCCCGUGGGACGGACAGUGACAGGCUCUGAGACCUCCCUAAGCCAGCGCCCGGGCAGCCUUGACCGUGUGUCAGGACGGCCACAGCCUCCGUCAGUCCCACUCUGAUGCACAGAGGCCCCUGCACUGGUUCCAGCCUCCUCCCGACUAGUCAUCAGGGCUGCAGGAUUGAUGGCAAAAAAUAAAACCCAGGCCACCAGAGAUGAGAAGAACAUUCCCCGGCCCCACCACAGAGGAGCAGCGCGCCUCGCACCACACGCGAUCAACCAGAAAGGCAGAGGAACAGACUUGUUUCUAGAAUUUCUAUAAACUUAAUUACACAAGAUAAAAUUGAGGACAUCUGCAAAUCAAAAGACAUUCAAAAACAAAGUCAAAGGGCAAGAACAACUUGGAGAAAGCCACCAACAGACCAGACGGAACAUUUUCAAGUCCAAAAAGCGUGACAUCCCAGCUGAAAAACAGCAGAAAACACAGUCACUUCCCAGAACGAAAAACACAGGCGCUAACAGAACAACUGCCCAGGUUGGCAGUGAUCAGAGGGGGCAAACCUCAGGAACAGCGAAGGGUACUCCGUUUUUCCCCCUCAAGUUGGAGUUGGAAGUGUUGGCGAGGGAUGGCACUGACAGAGGGGAGCAGCGGGGAUCCAGGCACACCUGCCCACAGCUUGGCUGACAGCAUGGCGCCAAGGGCGGAUAUGCUCCCCGGACGUCCACUCCACUCCUGUGUGGCCGGGGCCCCCUUCCAGCCCCACACUGCCCAGGAGGCUCCUUCUCC